UACGGAGGGGGCGAGCGUUAUUCGGAAUUAUUGGGCGUAAAGGGCGCGUAGGCGGCCUUGUAAGUCAAAGGUGAAAUCCCUCGGCUCAACUGAGGAACUGCCUUUGAAACUGACGGGCUUGAGUACAGACGAGGUUGGCGGAAUUGAUUGUGUAGCGGUGAAAUGCAUAGAUACAAUCAAGAACUCCGAUUGCGUAGGCAGCUAACUAGGCUGUAACUGACGCUGAGGCACGAAAGCGUGGGGAGCGAACAGG
rnacentral:rRNA from 1 species